AUUGAACGCUGGCGGAAUGCUUUACACAUGCAAGUCGAGCGGCAGCGCGGGGGCAACCCUGGCGGCGAGCGGCGAACGGGUGAGUAAUACAUCGGAACGUGUCCUUGAGUGGGGGAUAGCUCGGCGAAAGCCGGAUUAAUACCGCAUAAGCUCUGAGGAGGAAAGCGGGGGACUGGUAACGGCCUCGCGCUGUUGGAGCGGCCGAUGUCGGAUUAGCUAGUUGGUGGGGUAAAGGCCCACCAAGGCGACGAUCCGUAGCUGGUCUGAGAGGAUGAUCAGCCACACUGGAACUGAGACACGGUCCAGACUCCUACGGGAGGCAGCAGUGGGGAAUUUUGGACAAUGGGGGCAACCCUGAUCCAGCCAUUCCGCGUGAGUGAAGAAGGCCUUCGGUU
rnacentral:rRNA from 1 species